rnacentral:rRNA from 1 species
UGGGGAAUCUUGCGCAAUGGGGGAAACCCUGACGCAGCGACGCCGCGUGCGGGAUGAAGGCCUUCGGGUUGUAAACCGCUUUCAGCAGGGACGAGGCCUUAUGGUGACGGUACCUGCAGAAGAAGCUCCGGCUAAAUACGUGCCAGCAGCCGCGGUAAUACGUAUGGAGCAAGCGUUAUCCGGAUUCAUUGGGCGUAAAGCGCUCGUAGGCGGUCUGUUAGGUCGGCAAGUUAAAUCCGGGGGCUCAACCCCCGUCCGCUUCCGAUACCGGCAGAGUUGAGUUUGGUAGGGGAAGGUGGAAUUCCUGGUGUAGCGGUGGAAUGCGCAGAUAUUAGGAAGAACACCGGUGGCGAAGGCGGCCUUCUGGGCCAUAACUGACGCUGAGGAGCGAAAGCUAGGGGAGCGAACAGG